UGGGGAAUAUUGCACAAUGGGCGCAAGCCUGAUGCAGCAACGCCGCGUGAGGGACGACGGCCUUCGGGUUGUAAACCUCUUUUAGUAGGGAAGAAGCGAAAGUGACGGUACCUGCAGAAAAAGCACCGGCUAACUACGUGCCAGCAGCCGCGGUAAUACGUAGGGUGCGAGCGUUGUCCGGAAUUAUUGGGCGUAAAGAGCUCGUAGGCGGUCUGUCGCGUCUGCUGUGAAAACCCGAGGCUCAACCUCGGGCCUGCAGUGGGUACGGGCAGACUAGAGUGCGGUAGGGGAGAAUGGAAUUCCUGGUGUAGCGGUGGAAUGCGCAGAUAUCAGGAGGAACACCGAUGGCGAAGGCAGUUCUCUGGGCCGUAACUGACGCUGAGGAGCGAAAGCGUGGGGAGCGAACAGGAUUAGAUACCCUGGUAGUCCACGCCGUAAAACGUUGGGCGCUAGAUGUGGGGGACCAUUCCACGGUUUCCGUGUCGCAGCUAACGCAUUAAGCGCCCCGCCUGGGGAGUACGGCCGCAAGGCUAAAACUUAAAUGAAUUGACGGGGUCAUAGCUGUUU
rnacentral:rRNA from 1 species